GCCUCUGUAGCUCAGUUGGUUAGAGCGCUGCACCGGAAUCGCAGGGCCGUAGGUUCCAUUCCUACCAGAGGAC
rnacentral:tRNA from 1 species